ensembl:lncRNA
CAGGGGUUUGCUGAGGUGCGCUGAGAACCACAAGCGAUGAUGAAGUGAUGAAGCCUUUUGGAGCACAACUGACACCGACUGGGAAUCCCGAUCGGUGAAGCCGUUUGUUUAGUGGGAGCGGAGCGUUGUGUCGAGACAUUCACACUCCUCACUCGUCCAAACUUGGAGGCGCAGAUCGUUGCACUAAGUACACCCGCACCUUCAGAAUUAUUUUCCGACUUGUUGAGACGUAUCAGACCAAAAGUAAAUUUACAAACCUCACCUGUGCUCGUCUCCAUCCUUCAUCAUGUGCAAAACAGCGUUAUUUUGCCAUCUAAACGGUUGUUUUAUAUUGUCAGUUGAAAAAACCAGCAAUGAAGUAUUUCACCGGGAUUUGCAGUUUUUCUUGCUCCUAGAAGCGUAAAAUGAAGAAGCUUCCCAAACACACGGGAAGACACACACACCUCACUCCUCGACUUGCACUUAAAGUUAAUCUUUUAUUUAAUGGAACAGUUUGGAUCUGAAAAUGUCAUUUUAUUGGACUAUUUUAAAUGUGCAAGUGAAGACCGACCAG